rnacentral:rRNA from 1 species
UUUAUGGAGAGUUUGAUCCUGGCUCAGGAUGAACGCUGGCGGCGUGCCUAAUACAUGCAAGUCGAGCGAACAGACAAGGAGCUUGCUCCUUUGACGUUAGCGGCGGACGGGUGAGUAACACGUGGGUAACCUACCUAUAAGACUGGGAUAACUUCGGGAAACCGGAGCUAAUACCGGAUAAUAUUUCGAACCGCAUGGUUCGAUAGUGAAAGAUGGUUUUGCUAUCACUUAUAGAUGGACCCGCGCCGUAUUAGCUAGUUGGUAAGGUAACGGCUUACCAAGGCGACGAUACGUAGCCGACCUGAGAGGGUGAUCGGCCACACUGGAACUGAGACACGGUCCAGACUCCUACGGGAGGCAGCAGUAGGGAAUCUUCCGCAAUGGGCGAAAGCCUGACGGAGCAACGCCGCGUGAGUGAUGAAGGUCUUCGGAUCGUAAAACUCUGUUAUUAGGGAAGAACAUACGUGUAAGUAACUAUGCACGUCUUGACGGUACCUAAUCAGAAAGCCACGGCUAACUACGUGCCAGCAGCCGCGGUAAUACGUAGGUGGCAAGCGUUAUCCGGAAUUAUUGGGCGUAAAGCGCGCGUAGGCGGUUUUUUAAGUCUGAUGUGAAAGCCCACGGCUCAACCGUGGAGGGUCAUUGGAAACUGUAAAACUUGAGUGCAGAAGAGGAAAGUGGAAUUCCAUGUGUAGCGGUGAAAUGCGCAGAGAUAUGGAGGAACACCAGUGGCGAAGGCGACUUUCUGGUCUGUAACUGACGCUGAUGUGCGAAAGCGUGGGGAUCAAACAGGAUUAGAUACCCUGGUAGUCCACGCCGUAAACGAUGAGUGCUAAGUGUUAGGGGUUUCCGCCCCUUAGUGCUGCAGCUAACGCAUUAAGCACUCCGCCUGGGGAGUACGACCGCAAGGUUGAAACUCAAAGGAAUUGACGGGGACCCGCACAAGCGGUGGAGCAUGUGGUUUAAUUCGAAGCAACGCGAAGAACCUUACCAAAUCUUGACAUCCUUUGACAACUCUAGAGAUAGAGCCUUCCCCUUCGGGGGACAAAGUGACAGGUGGUGCAUGGUUGUCGUCAGCUCGUGUCGUGAGAUGUUGGGUUAAGUCCCGCAACGAGCGCAACCCUUAAGCUUAGUUGCCAUCAUUAAGUUGGGCACUCUAAGUUGACUGCCGGUGACAAACCGGAGGAAGGUGGGGAUGACGUCAAAUCAUCAUGCCCCUUAUGAUUUGGGCUACACACGUGCUACAAUGGACAAUACAAAGGGCAGCGAAACCGCGAGGUCAAGCAAAUCCCAUAAAGUUGUUCUCAGUUCGGAUUGUAGUCUGCAACUCGACUACAUGAAGCUGGAAUCGCUAGUAAUCGUAGAUCAGCAUGCUACGGUGAAUACGUUCCCGGGUCUUGUACACACCGCCCGUCACACCACGAGAGUUUGUAACACCCGAAGCCGGUGGAGUAACCAUUUGGAGCUAGCCGUCGAAGGUGGGACAAAUGAUUGGGGUGAAGUCGUAACAAGGUAGCCGUAUCGGAAGGUGCGGCUGGAUCACCUCCUUUCU